ensembl:lncRNA
GUGCUGGAGGCAUAUCGUCAACGUUUUCGUUCCAGGAAAAAGCUAGAUUCACAAACCUAUUCUGAGUUUGUUCGCAAGUCAAUUUAAACCUGCUGUGUUGGCAGUGCCUGUUACAGCCUCUGAUCACCAUGGUGAGCUUUUUCAGCCAAUAGUUGAGUUUGGUUCUGAGUCUUCCCAAUGUGACUUUUCAGCUUUUAUUUCAGAUGGUGUAGUGUCCCUGGUAGAUGGCAACCAAGAGGUUCCAAUUAAGAUCUUAAGAGACACUGGAGCUUUAGAUUCUUUUAUUUUGGAAUCUGUUUUGCCGUUCUCUAAGGAGUCUGAUUCUGGCAGUUGUAUAAUGUAUGUGGCAUGGGUUUAGUUCCAUUCUCUUCUCCUUUACAUGAUGUUACCCUUAAAUGUGGUUUGGUAGAGGGUGAUGUAGCUGUUGGGGUUAGACCCCAGUUGCCAGUAGAGGGAGUCCAUAUGAUUUUGGGGAAUGACUUGGCAGGUAGUAAGGUGUGGGCAGAUGGCAAAAUAAACAUCUUUAAAAAGCAAGAUUCAGUGCCCCCUGCAAAGGUAUCUCCAGAUUGCAGCUUUGUGUCUCCGGAGGUAUUUCCAGUUUGUGCUGUUACUCGCUCUGUCUCAUGUAAGGAGGUUGAGAGUAAGCCAGAAAGCCUUGAGUUGCCAGUUAAACUACAAAUCGAACAGUUGACUAGUUCUCGAGAUUCACUGAUAGCUGAGCAAAAGGUAGAUACUACCUUGGCUGAUUUGUUUGAUAAAGCGGUUCCUGAUUCAGUGGUGAGGAAUAGUGCUCAGUGUUAUUUUCUUCUUGAUGGGCUGUUGGUCAGGAAAUGGGUUCCACACUGUGAUCAGGGUCUAGGUGAACCAGUUUUUCAGGUAGUUGUACCUACUACUUUGCGAAGUAAAGUGUUGCAAACUUCACAUGGUGAUGUGGCAGGUCAUAUGGGUGUUUGUAAAACUUAUGAUCGCAUACUCCAUUAUUUUUUUUGGCCAAGUUUAAAGCGGGAUGUAGCUCAGUUUAUUAAAACUUGUCAUACAUGUCAGCGCACAAGCAAGCCAAAUCAGGUUGUAAAGCCAGCUCCUUUGUAUCCAAUACCAGCCAUAGGGCAACCUUUUGAGCAUCUUAUUAUUGAUUGUGUUGGGCCUUUACCACGGUCCAAGUCAGGUCA